rnacentral:rRNA from 1 species
AUUGAACGCUGGCGGCAUGCCUUACACAUGCAAGUCGAACGGCAGCACGGGAGCAAUCCUGGUGGCGAGUGGCGAACGGGUGAGUAAUAUAUCGGAACGUGCCCAGUCGUGGGGGAUAACGUAGCGAAAGCUACGCUAAUACCGCAUACGAUCUACGGAUGAAAGCGGGGGAUCGCAAGACCUCGCGCGAUUGGAGCGGCCGAUAUCAGAUUAGCUAGUUGGUGGGGUAAAAGCUCACCAAGGCGACGACGGGUAGCCGGCCUGAGAGGGUGACCGGCCACACUGGAACUGAGACACGGUCCAGACUCCUACGGGGGGCAGCAGUGGGGAAUCUUCCACAAUGGGCGAAAGCCUGAUGGAGCGACGCCGCGUGAGCGAAGAAGGCCUUCGGGUUGUAAAGCUCUGUCUGGAGGGACGAAGGAAGUGACGGUACCUCCGGAGGAAGCCACGGCUAACUACGUG